UGGCUUUUAGAGUUUUGGAUCUGGCUCAGAUUGAACGCUGGCGGCAGGCCUAACACAUGCAAGUCGAGCGGAUGAAGGGAGCUUGCUCCUGGAUUCAGCGGCGGACGGGUGAGUAAUGCCUAGGAAUCUGCCUGGUAGUGGGGGACAACGUUUCGAAAGGAACGCUAAUACCGCAUACGUCCUACGGGAGAAAGCAGGGGACCUUCGGGCCUUGCGCUAUCAGAUGAGCCUAGGUCGGAUUAGCUAGUUGGUGGGGUAAUGGCCCACCAAGGCGACGAUCCGUAGCUGGUCUGAGAGGAUGAUCAGCCACACUGGGACUGAGACACGGCCCAGACUCCUACGGGAGGCAGCAGUGGGGAAUAUUGGACAAUGGGCGAAAGCCUGAUCCAGCCAUGCCGCGUGUGUGAAGAAGGUCUUCGGAUUGUAAAGCACUUUAAGUUGGGAGGAAGGGCUGUUACCUAAUACGUGACUGUUUUGACGUUACCAACAGAAUAAGCACCGGCUAC
rnacentral:rRNA from 1 species